AGUUAGCGGCGGACGGGUGAGUAACACGUGGGUAACCUGCCCAUAAGACUGGGAUAACUCCGGGAAACCGGGGCUAAUACCGGAUAACAUUUUGAACUGCAUGGUUCGAAAUUGAAAGGCGGCUUCGGCUGUCACUUAUGGAUGGACCCGCGUCGCAUUAGCUAGUUGGUGAGGUAACGGCUCACCAAGGCAACGAUGCGUAGCCGACCUGAGAGGGUGAUCGGCCACACUGGGACUGAGACACGGCCCAGACUCCUACGGGAGGCAGCAGUAGGGAAUCUUCCGCAAUGGACGAAAGUCUGACGGAGCAACGCCGCGUGAGUGAUGAAGGCUUUCGGGUCGUAAAACUCUGUUGUUAGGGAAGAACAAGUGCUAGUUGAAUAAGCUGCA
rnacentral:rRNA from 1 species